AUGCAGGCUAGGUUGGGGAGUUAGCCCUUCCCUGUAGCUGUGAACGGGCUUUACACAGAACCGAAGCUUUUGAGGCGGUAUAGAUACAAGUACUAGUCUUGGUCUGUACGUUGAGGUCUUGUCCCGAUUGGCCAAUGUUUUUGAGAACCGUGUGAGGUUGGGAACAAAGCAGCACUAAUCAUGAUCACUGACGCUUUUGGGGUCGCAGGGCUGAGGAAGGAUUGAGGUUAACUAUUGCUUAUAUCCAAUAUCCACUCUUGGGCACGCCUGCAA
rnacentral:SRP_RNA from 1 species